rnacentral:rRNA from 1 species
GACAGAGGGUGCAAACGUUGUUCGGAAUUACGGGGCGUAAAGCGUGUGUAGGCGGUCCAUUAAGUCGGAUGUGAAAGCCCUGGGCUCAACCCAGGAAGUGCACUCGAAACUGGGAAGCUGGAGUACUGGAGAGGCGAGUGGAAUUCCUGGUGUAGAGGUGAAAUUCGUAGAUAUCAGGAGGAACACCGGUGGCGAAGGCGACUCGCUGGCCAGUAACUGACGCUGAGACGCGAAAGCGUGGGGAGCAAACAGG